rnacentral:rRNA from 1 species
UUGGAGGGCAAGUCUGGUGCCAGCAGCCGCGGUAAUUCCAGCUCCAAUAGCGUAUAUUAAAGUUGCUGCAGUUAAAAAGCUCGUAGUUGAAUUUCGGGACCAAUAUGUCGGUCGUGCCUCGGUACGUACUGGCAUCGUUGGUUUCUCCCUUCUGACGAACCAUGAUGUCAUUUAUUUGGUGUCGUGGGGAAUCAGGACUGUUACUUUGAAAAAAUUAGAGUGUUUAAAGCAGGCUCACGCUUGAAUACAUUAGCGUGGAAUAAUGAAAUAGGACGUUUGAUUCUAUUUUGUUGGUUUCUAGGAUCGACGUAAUGAUUAAUAGGGAUAGUUGGGGGCAUUAGUAUUCAAUUGUCAGAGGUGAAAUUCUUGGAUUUAUUGAAGACUAACUACUGCGAAAGCAUUUGCCAAGGAUGUUUUCAUUAAUCAAGAACAAAAGUUAGGGGAUCGAAGACGAUCAGAUACCGUCGUAGUCUUAACCAUAAACUAUGCCGACUAGGGAUCGGAUGAUGUUAAUUUUUUAAUGACUCAUUCGGCGCCUUACGGGAAAC